AUACUGAGACUAAGGUAGAAAAAGACACUUCCAAAGGGUGUCAAUGACAAGAGAGAAAUAGACAUAGAGUGGUCACUUCAUUUACCAACCCUGGAACCGCAGACCUCUGGGCUUCCUGAUAAAGAAAAUGGGUACGGCCAAGACCAUAGACCUAGUGAUUGUCAGAUGAACAAUUAGACCCACAGAACCAUCCAAGCUACAGAGGACGCAUUCUGCCUUCCCUUGGAUCCUGUGGUUUGAGGAUGGAGGUCUAGGACCGUGGCAGGCUUUUUGUCCCAUGAGGGAAGGCCAUGGAGCUGAGGAAGGGGAAGAACACACACACCUAAUGGAAUCUCGAGAGAAAGUUCAGACAUCAAAAGACAGAAGCGACAGAGACCCAGAUGGAGUCUCACCCAGCCUGGAGUACAGUAGUAUGAUCUGCAACCUUUGCCUCCCAGGUUC
rnacentral:lncRNA from 10 species